rnacentral:rRNA from 1 species
UGAGGAAUAUUGGUCAAUGGGCGAGAGCCUGAACCAGCCAAGUAGCGUGCAGGAUGACGGCCCUAUGGGUUGUAAACUGCUUUUAUGUGGGGAUAAAGUGCGUGACGUGUCAUGCAUUGCAGGUACCACAUGAAUAAGGACCGGCUAAUUCCGUGCCAGCAGCCGCGGUAAUACGGAAGGUCCGGGCGUUAUCCGGAUUUAUUGGGUUUAAAGGGAGCGUAGGCUGUCUAUUAAGCGUGUUGUGAAAUUUACCGGCUCAACCGGUGGCUUGCAGCGCGAACUGGUCGACUUGAGUAUGCAGGAAGUAGGCGGAAUUCAUGGUGUAGCGGUGAAAUGCUUAGAUAUCAUGAAGAACUCCGAUUGCGAAGGCAGCUUACGGGAGCGCAACUGACGCUGAGGCUCGAAGGUGCGGGUAUCGAACAGG